AUGAAUCCUCAGCAGGAACCCCUUCCUGUCUCGCGGAUUGAUUCUACAAUUCCACCUACACAUACUGUUCAAUCUUCUAUGGAGACGGACCUUUCUCUGGAUUUGCAGGCCCUCAACCUACAAGAUCCGAAAGUUGCCUCUGUCAAAGCUGUCCAAGAAACUAUGGAAGUAGGAGCAGAUGCGAAGUACAACAUACUCAUCAUUCUUGCAGCCACUGGAAUGGCCCCAGCUCGUGUUCUCAGUUUGCAAACCUUGCAGCAGGCUAUGGCCAGAGCUUGGAGAAGCAAUUAUCACGGAAUAUCACAGGUAUCUAGAUCAAUGUUCAUGGCGCAUUUCAGAACUUUAGAUGCUAUGAUGUUUGUUAUUACAAGGCAGCCUUGGAUUAUGGGUUCUGACAAUCUACUGCUUGAGUGGCUUGAUCCUGAGGAUGAAGCAAAAGAAAAGGGGAAAUAUUUUUCAACACUAUAUAUGUGA
rnacentral:rRNA from 1 species